rnacentral:rRNA from 1 species
CUCAUGGUUUCACGGUAUUGCAAUGAGAACAAUUUAAAACCCUUAGCGAGAAUCAAGUGGAGGACAAGUCUGGUGCCAGCACCCGCGGUAAUUCCAGCUCCACUAGCGUAUAUUAAAGUUGUUGCAGUUAAAAAGCUCGUAGUUGAACCUCUGUCUGGGGCUAGUUUUGGCUUUGGUCAGGCUAGUUCUAGGCAUCCGCCUACAAGACUUAGAGGGCAUUCAGUUGUUCACUAGGAGGAGUAGGCAUUUUACUUUGAAAAAAUUAGAGUGUUUAAGGCAGGCAAUCGCCCGCAUAUAUUAGCAUGGAAUAAUAGAAUAGGACACUUUUCCAUUUCGUUGGUUAUUGGAAUCGUGUAAUGAUUAAUAGGGACAGUUGUGGGCAUUUGUAUUUAAUUGUCAGAGGUGAAAUUCUUGGAUUUAUUAAAGACAAACUAACGCGAAAGCAUUUGCCAAGGAUGUUUUCAUUAAUCAAGAACGAAAGUUAGGGGAUCAAAGACGAUCAGAUACCGUCCUAGUCUUAACUAUGAACUAUUCCGACUCAAUGUUUGACUGGCUUAUAUAACCAGUUGAGCGUUGUAUGAGAAAUCAAAGUCUUUAGGUUCUGGGGGGAGUAUGGUUGCAAAGCUGAAACUUAAAGGAAUUGACGGAAGAGCACAACCAGGAGUGGAUUCUGCGGCUUAAUUUGACUCAACACGGGGAAACUUACCAGGUUAAAACAAUAGCGGGAUUGACAGUUUGAGAGCGCUUUCUUGAUUGGUUGGGUGGUGGUGCAUGGCCGUUCUUAGUUGGUGGAGUGAUUUGUCUGCUUAAUUGCGUUAACGAACGAGACCUUAACCUGCUUACUAGACUGGCGAUCAUCAAUCGUUAGCUCUUCUUAGAGGGACUUUGGUUGUGUUAACUCCAAGGAAGUUUGAGGCAAUAACAGGUCUGUGAUGCCCUUAGAUAUCCUGGGCCGCACGCGUCAUACAAUGACUAGUUCAGAAAGUUUUCUCCUGACCCGAAAGGGGAUGGGUAAUCUUGAUAAUACUAGUCGUGUUAGGGAUCGAUCUUUGCAAUUAUAGAUCUUGAACGAGGAAUUCCUAGUAAGUGCGGUUCAUCAGACCGUACUGAUUACGUCCCUGCUCUUUGUACACACCGCCCGUCGCUUCUACCGAGUGGGUGGUCCGGUGAGAUAAUUGAACUUCGCAGGUAACUGAGAGGAAAGAUUAUCAAACCUAUCCACCU